rnacentral:rRNA from 1 species
CCCUAACACAUGCCAAGUCGAACGGCAGCACAGGAGAGCUUGCUCUCUGGGUGGCGAGUGGCGGACGGGUGAGGAAUACAUCGGAAUCUACUCUGUCGUGGGGGAUAACGUAGGGAAACUUACGCUAAUACCGCAUACGACCUACGGGUGAAAGCAGGGGACCUUCGGGCCUUGCGCGAUUGAAUGAGCCGAUGUCGGAUUAGCUAGUUGGCGGGGUAAAGGCCCACCAAGGCGACGAUCCGUAGCUGGUCUGAGAGGAUGAUCAGCCACACUGGAACUGAGACACGGUCCAGACUCCUACGGGAGGCAGCAGUGGGGAAUAUUGGACAAUGGGCGCAAGCCUGAUCCAGCCAUACCGCGUGGGUGAAGAAGGCCUUCGGGUUGUAAAGCCCUUUUGUUGGGAAAGAAAUCCAGCUGGCUAAUACCCGGUUGGGAUGACGGUACCCAAAGAAUAAGCACCGGCUAACUUCGUGCCAGCAGCCGCGGUAAUACGAAGGGUGCAAGCGUUACUCGGAAUUACUGGGCGUAAAGCGUGCGUAGGUGGUCGUUUAAGUCCGUUGUGAAAGCCCUGGGCUCAACCUGGGAACUGCAGUGGAUACUGGGCGACUAGAAUGUGGUAGAGGGUAGCGGAAUUCCUGGUGUAGCAGUGAAAUGCGUAGAGAUCAGGAGGAACAUCCAUGGCGAAGGCAG